rnacentral:misc_RNA from 1 species
CGUAUAUCGCGCUUCCUCGUUACGAUAAGGGGAUCUAAUCUUCAUUAAUUGAAUUAUUGGGUCUUGAAGCUAGUCGCAGUUACUAUACUAUCUUACUCUAUCAGAAAGGGGGUAUGCUGAGAACAUCCUUUCUAGAUUUCACAUGGACAAGGCCCACCACUGCAAUUCCUGCCAAGUCACAAAUCUCUUCUUCUUCAGGGGCUUCCUG